GCUGGUGUUUGUGCGGACCCCCUCUGCUCUCCCCCUGUUGCCAGCCAGGCUCUGAGCACAAGCAGAUUUAGCAGCACAGGAGCGGGAGCUGCGUCUCUGCUUUUCAGCAGGACAAGCAAAGCACAAAGCGUUGACCAAGGUUAUCCCAGAAAGACUGUGGCAGAGAGAACGGAAUCAAAACCUGCCUGGAAAGAUGCACUCCCCCCGUUCCCAGUGCUCCGAAGGCAGCGCCUGCAUCCGUCCUGCUGUGUCCCUGCAUUUUAAUUACCACCUUAUUAAUAUUCAUGAGGGUCCAUGGUGCUGGCAUGCCCUGGGAGGACAGAGGGCAGAAAACCUGGCUUGAGGGCAUACAGAGGGAAAGUGCUGGUGAUGAAGCUGGAGGUAAAUCAAUUUUCUCAUUCCUAAAUUGAGCAAUGUGGGGUUUGCCUGCUCCUCCCUGCCAUGCAGCGUUUAACCCUUUCUAUAUUCAUUACUGAAAACAGUGGCCACGUAGGCAGCAGAGAACUCACCUGGCUUUGCAAACCCUGCUGCUCUCUCACUGGAGGAAACCACAGGAGGGCCAGGCUGUC